rnacentral:rRNA from 1 species
UAUUGGUCAAUGGACGCAAGUCUGAACCAGCCAUGCCGCGUGCAGGAUGAAUGCCCUAUGGGUUGUAAACUGCUUUUAUAUAGGAAUAAACCCCCUCUCGUGAGAGGGGCUGAAGGUACUAUAAGAAUAAGGACCGGCUAACUCCGUGCCAGCAGCCGCGGUAAUACGGAGGGUCCAAGCGUUAUCCGGAUUUAUUGGGUUUAAAGGGUCCGCAGGCGGGAAAAUAAGUCAGUGGUGAAAUCCUAUCGCUUAACGAUAGAACUGCCAUUGAUACUGUUUUUCUUGAGUGUAAUUGAAGUGGGCGGAAUGUGUCAUGUAGCGGUGAAAUGCAUAGAUAUGACACAGAACACCGAUUGCGAAGGCAGCUCACUAAAUUAUUACUGACGCUCAGGGACGAAAGCGUGGGGAGC